AUUGAACGCUGGCGGUAGGCCUAACACAUGCAAGUCGAACGGCAGCACAGUAAGAGCUUGCUCUUACGGGUGGCGAGUGGCGGACGGGUGAUGAAUACAUCGGAAUCUACUUUUUCUUGGGGGAUAACGUAGGGAAACUUACGCUAAUACCGCAUACGACCUACGGGUGAAAGCAUGGGAUCUUCGGACCUUGCGCGAUUGAAUGAGCCGAUGUCGGAUUAGCUAGUUGGGGGGGUAAAGGCCCACCAAGGCGACGAUCCGUAGCUGGUCUGAGAGGAUGAUCAGCCACACUGGAACUGAGACACGGUCCAGACUCCUACGGGAGGCAGCAGUGGGGAAUAUUGGACAAUGGGCGCAAGCCUGAUCCAGCCAUACCGCGUGGGUGAAGAAGGCCUUCGGGUUGUAAAGCCCUUUUGUUGGGAAAGAAAAGCAGCAGGUUAAUACCCCGCUGUUCUGACGGUACCCAAAGAAUAAGCACCGGCUAACUUCGUG
rnacentral:rRNA from 1 species